AAACUUAUAUAAAAAAUAUUACUCGACAAUUUAAGGUGUCACCAACGAUACUCAUUUGAAAACACAUCAAAUCAUUUGAAACAACGUAGCGGAAAAAUGUUUCAUAGCAACUUCAUAAAUAAAGUAAUAAACUUCAAAACGAUAAAAUCAACAUCAACAUAAAACAUAAUAAACUCCUAUCUCCGAUGUUACACGGUCAGAGCACUAAAAACCACUAAUGUAUGAUAAAACGAUAAAUAAAAGCGAAGAGUAGCUCCAAC
rnacentral:lncRNA from 1 species